GAGGGGCGGGGCUUUUCCUUUCCUUCCUUUCGCUUAUAGGAGGGCGGAAAGGAGGAGUACUACGGAACGCUACGAGGUUCAAGCCCAUUUAAUCUUGUUUCUCGAUGCUUCCGGAAGAGCUUAUUUAUUCUUUCUCUAAAUAUCUAAUGAGUCUCUGCCGCGCGCCUGGCGCUGCUAUAAAUGCUGAAAAAAAACCAGCAGUGAACUAAACAGACAAAAAUUCCUGUCCUCGUGGAGUUGGCAUUCUAGUGGAACAAGACAGAUGUUAAAACCAAUAGCCGGCGCGGUGGCUCGCGCCUGGAAUCUCAGGUACUCGGGAAGCCUAGGCGGAAGGAUCCCUUCCAGAGUUGGGAGUUGGGAGUUGGAGACCAGACCUGGCUAUUGCCUUGUUUGCUUCUUGCAAUAACCACAGGAAGUCAGAAGAAUAGAUAUUUUCGUUCUCAUAGGACAAAUGAAAACACUGAAGCAUGGAAGAGUUAAUUGAAUCACCUAAGAAAUCACACACACUGAACCCAUCCAGACUUGUGACUCAUGACUCACCAUAUUCUGUGGCCCUCCCUAAUCAGGAGUGCAUGCUGCACAUGAGGAUCCCUGUGAAUCUACCCCUAUGAGUUCAUCCCCAACCAGUCAGCAACACCUAUUCCCUAACCCCCUGCCCACCAGAUUGUCUGGGAGACUGAUUUGAGUGAUAACUCCAAUUAUCUUGUGUGGGCCAGCCUCACAUUAAUAAAACUCUUUCUCUACUGCAA